AGCUCGGCAGAGGUGGGGACAAAUGCCCAAAGCCCCGGGGCUGUGAAGGACGCCUGCCAGAGUCAGCACCAGCGGGGAGGGCUGUGUGCCCAUCACAGACGCGCAGCCCUAGCAUUUCUAAGAAAGAGGAAAACCAUAGCCCAGAGGAGGAGGAAGUCUUCUAAAGAGAGGGCCCGCGUCCGCAGCGAGGACAGCGCUCCGGUGACACUAGCUCUGGGGGACCACCAGUGUUCUAUAUAAUUCACUCAUUUGGACUCGAGCCAGACCGUCUGAG